GAUGAAGAACGUAGCGAAAUGCGAUAAGUAGUGUGAAUUGCAGAAUUCAGUGAAUCAUCGAAUCUUUGAACGCACAUUGCGCUUCCUGGUAUUCCGGGGAGCAUGCCCGUUUCAGAAUCAUUUAAAUCUCACUGCCUGCUGGGCCCCUACCCCUGUGGUGGAAACCCGGAAGAAAGUGGAUCUGGAUAUAUUGUAACAUUUUCUUUGCAAUUGUCUAAAUAUGAUUGUAUGUGCUCCGAUAGGAACAUCUAUUGGCUCUCCAAAGUGCAACAGAUACAUCUAUUUCUCUUUGGUGGGCCUUUUGUCAUUCCUGUUGUUGGGCGUGUCUACAAGUCUUUGACAGGCGGUGUGCUGGGCAACAGUACGUCGUCUGAUAACUUGGUCUGAAAUCGGGCAAGAAAACCCGCUGAACUUAAGCAUAUCAAUAAGCGGAGGA
rnacentral:misc_RNA from 1 species